AGCAGAGUAGGCUCUUUCAACAAUGAGACCAACGUUGAGGAAGGUGGUCUUGUUCGCGCUGUUGGGCCGGGACCAGUCCCGCCGAAAGCGCAGGUCUGUGUGGUUCCAGAGAUGGUUAAAGUCCCGAAAGCAGGCAGGGGAAUUCCAGCAUCUCAUUCAAGAGCUUCGAAUGUUUGGAGGGGAAUUCUGAAGUUACUUUCGUCUGAACCGAAGCCAGUUCGAUCACCUGCUGCAGAUGGUUGGAGCCAGGAUCGCCCGGAUGGAUACCAACUACCGGGAGUCCAUCAGCCCAGUUGAACGCCUGGCGAUUUGUCUCCGGAGGAAGACUGGAGGGCCAUCACUGCCGAGUUCCUGGAGAGGUGGAAUUUCCCCAACUGUCUUGGCUCCAUUGACAGGAAACAUGUAGUAAUCCAGGCUCCACUGUGCUCAGGUUCGCAGUUCUACAACUGCAAGGGUACAUAUUCAGUUGUACUCUUGGCUGUAGUAGAUGCCAUCUACUGUUUCCGUGUUGUCGAUGUUGAUGCUUACGGCAAGGGAAGUGAUGGCGUGACCCUCCGAGACUCUGCCUCUGGCCAGGCACUUCAGGAUGGCACCCUGGAGAUUCCACCACCUGCAUCACUCCCUGGGGCUGAAGACCUGGGACCUGUUCCCCACGUCUUCGUCGGCGACCAGGCCUUCUCUUUAAGACCCAACCUCAUGAGCCCUGCGCUGGACGCCAGCUGCCAUUGCCAAAGCCUGUAAGGAUCUUUAACAAAUGAUUGUCCAAGGCAAUGCGCCUUUGGGAUUCUGGCAGCUCGGUGGAGAAUGUAUCGGAGAGUGCUUGGUCUCAGCCCCUCAAAUGUCGAUGCCUGCGUGAAGGCCACAUGUGUUCUCCACAACUACUUGCGGAGGUCAUUCCAGGAGCCGCUCCGGAUGGAGAUGGUCACCUUCCUGAUGUCACCAGGGCAGGUACCAACAACGCCCCCAGACAGGCACUCCAGGUGAGGGAGAAGCUGACCACCUACUUCUCAUCGCCAGCAGGUGAAGUCCCAUGGCAGUAUGCCGUGGAGUGAAACGGCUCUUUUAAGAGCCCCAUAACACAAUGGUUAUUUUAAGAACCAUACACCGUUGUCCAUAAAAUUGAAUUUUUUCCCUC
ensembl:lncRNA